AGAGAGAGAGAGAGAGAGAGAGAGAGAGAGAGAGAGAGAGUCAGUCACGCCUCUUUAUCUGUCUGCACAUACGCACAGCCUAUUGCCUUGACACAAAAGGGCUCACACAGUUAAAACAUUGUUGGCGUGAUGACGGACAGCAAACUGAAAGCACAAUGCACAAGGCAGCAGCCUGUAGGGGCUGGUAUAGACUAGCACCACUCUCUCUCUCACACACACAGACACACACGCACGCACACACACACGCACAGACACACACACAGACUGCACACACACACACACCACAAACAGCAAGGUUCACGCUACUUUUUUACAACACACAGACAUCCAGUAAUCCCUACUUACAUGCAUCCGUCUUUUGACCCUCAGUAUAAAGUAGCAAGGGCAUAUUGUGUAUUGAUGCAUGAUAGCAUGCAGAGAGGAGCAAAGCGAUGAAGGAGGCAGCUCUGAUACUGUGGAGAGAGGACUGAGCGGGAGGACAGCUUUUCUGUCAGGCCAAGACAGAGAAUGUAUUUGAACACAAACAAUUUAAACUAGGCAAAAAUGUGUUCAGCUAUGACUUACUCCAAGUCCAAAUGAAAAUUGCAUAUAUUUUCCCCAAAUGUCAUUUCUAAUGUUCUAUGUCAAAGCUUAGUUUGGCUGUCACUUUUCUGCCAUGGGUUUUGGUCUCAGUACAUUCAGAAACUUCCCUUUUUAGGUGGGUGGGUCAUUGGGGUGGAUGGUGGGUCAUAAAACUCUUUUUAAGCCAGGAAGCGGAGCUUGUGUCCCUGGGAAAACAAAAGAGCCAGAAAUGCGUGUUCAUGUCCCAGGAGUACUACUUAAGGGGACCGGUGUUUUAAACCUGCCCAAAUGUAACUGUAAUCACCACAUGAACUGCAAUGGCCCCUGAAAGGAUGGUCCCCUCACGGUGCUCUGUAGCCUGCUGACAGUCAUGCUUUGUCUCUCUCUAAACUCAAAAACAUAAUCUUGGAAACUAGAAAAAAAUAGGGAGAAAAUAAAUAGUAUUCCAAAACAAGAUACAAAAAAAUGUUUAUUCCUAAAUAUAUCCCUUUGCUUCCCAUCAACAAAUAGCAGUGGAUAAAUAAAUGCAAAUACGUGAGAACACACAAACACACUUAUUAACAAUCCUCAUGGUGUCAUAAAACUGUUGCCACACAAUAUAAUGGGAGGAUUGUAAUCUGUUGUAAUUGUACUUAACAGCAGAGAUGCAAUAACUCAACACAGGACUCUCUUCUUUGCUGUUGGCAGUGCAGCUGAACUGAUGUGGUGCAAUGCAUGCACAACAGAGGGAGUAAAACACAUUACAAACUGCUUUGAAGAAGUAUAUGGGCCUGCAGAGGUCAACAUAUAAAACAGAUAAAGAGUCAUGGAAAAAAACAAUUACCUCAACAUAUUGUCGAUAUUCUCAGAUUCUGCAAAGAAAUACCUUCAGGUUAUUUUACCUCCCCUCCCCUCCUAUUAACCUCCGUUUCAUCCAAACAUUUUCCACAGGGGACUAACUAGUACAGUAUAAACAACAGAUAUAAAUAUGACAA